rnacentral:misc_RNA from 1 species
GAAAUGCGAUAAUUAAUGUGAAUUGCAGAAUUCAGUGAAUCAUCGAGUCUUUGAACGCACAUUGCGCCCCCUGGUAUUCCGGGGGGCAUGCCUGUCCGAGCGUCAUUGCUGCCCUCAAGCACGGCUUGUGUGUUGGGCUUCCGUCCCUGGCAACGGGGACGGGCCCAAAAGGCAGUGGCGGCACCAUGUCUGGUCCUCGAGCGUAUGGGGCUUUGUCACCCGCUCCCGUAGGUCCAGCUGGCAGCUAGCCUCGCAACCAAUCUUUUUAACCAGGUUGACCUCGGAUCAGAUAGGGAUACCCGCUGAACUUAAGCA